GGUGGAUGCCUUGGCUAUACUGGCCGAUGAAGGACGCGGUAAGCUGCGAUAAGCUACGGAGAGGUGCAAGCAACCUUUGACCCGUAGAUUUCCGAAUGGGGGAACCCGGCGGAAGUUAUGUUCCGUCACCCAUACCUUAGAGUAUGAGGAGGGCACCUGGGGAACUGAAACAUCUAAGUACCCAGAGGAAGAGUAAUCAAACGAGAUUCUCCUAGUAGCGGCGAGCGAACGGGGAAGAGCCCAAACCGGAUCGGGAAACCGAACCGGGGUUGAGGACUGUCAUCAAGUGUAAAUGAGAUAGAAGAAUUGUGCUGGAACGCACAGCCGUAGAAGGUGAAAGCCCUGUACUCGAAAUCUUGCAUGCAUGGGACAGUAUCCAGAGUACCACGAGACACGUGAAACCUUGUGGGAAGCAGGGGGGACCACCCUCCAAGGCAAAAUACCAGUAUGGACCGAUAGCGCAUAGUACCGUGAGGGAAAGGUGAAAAGCACCCCGGGAGGGGAGUGAAAGAGAACCUGAAACCGUAUGUCUACAAACAGUCGAAGCGCGUAUAAUUGCAGCGCGACGGCGUGCCUAUUGAAGAAUGAACCGGCGAGUUACUGUUACUAGCGAGGUUAAGUGGAAAACAUGGAGCCGAAGCGAAAGCGAGUCUGAAUAGGGCGAUUAGUUAGUGAUAGUAGACCCGAAACCGUAGUGAUCUAUCCAUGGCCAGGUUGAAGCACAGGUAAAAUUGUGUGGAGGACCGAACUCGUGAGCGUUGAAAAGCUUUGGGAUGAGCUGUGGAUAGGGGUGAAAUGCCAAUCGAACACGGAGAUAGCUGGUUCUCCCCGAAAUAGCUUUAGGGCUAGCCUCAUGGAGAGAGUAUAGGCGGUAGAGCACUGAUCGGGCUAGGGCCCAUACCGGGUACCGAACCUAGUCAAACUACGAAUGGCUAUACUUAUACAUGGGAGUCAGACUAUGAGUGAUAAGGCCCAUAGUCAAGAGGGAAACAGCCCAGACCACCAACUAAGGUCCCUAAUGCUGUACUAAGUGGCGAAGGAUGUGGAAUUUCUAAAACAACCAGGAUGUUGGCUUAGAAGCAGCCACCAUUUAAAGAGUGCGUAAUAGCUCACUGGUCGAGAGACUCUGCGCCGAAAAUGUCCGGGGCUAAAGUACAGAACCGAAGUUGUGGCAAAUGCAGUAAUGCAUUUGGGUAGGGGAGCGUUCUUAUUGGAUUGAAGCAGUACCGGAAGGAGCUGUGGACUGGUAAGAAGUGAGAAUGCCGGUAUGAGUAGCGAAAAGAAAGGUGAGAAUCCUUUCCACCGAAAGCCUAAGGGUUCCUGAGCAACGAUCGUCGACUCAGGGUAAGUCGGGACCUAAGCCGAGGCGGAAAAGCGUAGGCGAUGGACAACAGGUUGAAAUUCCUGUACUAGUAUGAAUUGUUUGAUCGAUGGAGUGACGCAGUAAGAUAGGUCAGCACGAGGAUGGAAAUUCGUGUUUAAGCGUGUAGGUGAAGUGGCAGGCAAAUCCACCAUUUCAAAAGCUGAGGCGUGAUGAGGAGUUACUAGAAAUAGUGACGAACUGAUUGAUUCUACACUGCCGAGAAAAGCUUCUAGGUAGAGACAUACUACCCGUACCGAAACCGACACAGGUGGGCGGGGAGAGAAUCCUAAGGUGCGCGGGAAAACCCUCGUUAAGGAACUCGGCAAAAUGCCUCCGUAACUUCGGGAAAAGGAGGACUCAUGUAGUGUGAAGAGCAGUAACGCUUGGAGCAUGAAUGAGUGGCACAAGAGAGGCGCAAGCGACUGUUUACCACAAACACAGGUGCCUGCUAAAGCGAAAGCUGAUGUAUAGGUGCUGACACCUGCCCGGUGCUGGAAGGUUAAGAGGAGGGGUUAGGAGUAAUCCGAAGCUCUGAAUUGAAGCCCCAGUAAACGGCGGCCGUAACUAUAACGGUCCUAAGGUAGCGAAAUUCCUUGUCGGGUAAGUUCCGACCCGCACGAAAGGUGUAACGACUUGCGCACUGUCUCAACGAGGGACCCGGUGAAAUUGAAGUACCUGUGAAGAUGCAGGUUACCCGCGACUGGACAGAAAGACCCCAUGGAGCUUUACUGCAACCUAAGAUUGAAUUUAGUUAUUGAAUGUACAGGAUAGGUGGGAGACGUAGAGACUAGGGCGCCAGUCUUAGUGGAGUCAUUGUUGGGAUACCACCCUUUCCAUAAUUGAAUUCUAACGGGGAGACUAACACCCUCCCGGACAGUCUUAGGCGGGCAGUUUGACUGGGGCGGUCGCCUCCGAAAAUGUAACGGAGGCGCCCAAAGGUUCCCUCAGAGCGGACG
rnacentral:rRNA from 1 species